UUUGAAACACCGUUUACCGUACGACCACUGAAGUUAAGCAACGUCGAUCCUGCUCAGUACCUAGAUGGGUGAUCGCUUGAGAAUACCAGAUG